UUGGUGCUUGCUUCAACAGCACAAAAACUGGAAGGAUACCAAGAAGAUUAGCAUGGACUCUGCACAAGAAUGACACACAAAUUUGUAACGCAGUCCAUAUAAAA